rnacentral:misc_RNA from 1 species
CGAGUGAAGUAUUGGAUCUCUAUCUGAUAUAAUAGACACUGGCACUCCAUGUAACCUCACCACUUCAUUAAUGUACAAUUUAGCCAAUCUUUCCAGACUGUAAUUCAUCCUCACUGGCAAAAAGUGUGCAGAUUUGGUCAAUAUAUCAACAAUAACCCAAACUGUAUCAUGAUUCUUCUGUGUACGUGGAAGUCCUAUUAUGAAAUCCAUAGUAAUUCUCUCCCAUUUUUACUUGGGAAUUAGCAAUGGUGGCACUUUGUGUUCUACCUUUACUUGCUGACAAGCUAGGCAUUUGGCAACAUAUUCUGCAAUGUCCUUCUUCAUUCCCCUCCACCAAUAGUGCUCUUUUAUGGUUCUGUACAUUUUGGUUCCACCAGGGUGCAUAGCAAAAGGUGAAUCAUGUGCUUCUUUUAAAAUGACCUACCUCAAUUCAACAUUAUCAGGGAUGCACAUUCUGCCUUGUUGUAGCAACAAGCUCUCAUCAUUCAUAGA